UAUGGCCAUAUCAUGUUGAAACACCGGUUCUCGCAUGACCACCGAAAUUAAGUAAUGUUGAGCCCAUUCAGUACCUAGGUGGGUGACCAUUUGGGUAUACUAUGUGCUGUAAG